GACGAACGCUGGCGGCGUGCUUAACACAUGCAAGUCGAACGGAAAGGCCCUGCUUUUGUGGGGUGCUCGAGUGGCGAACGGGUGAGUAACACGUGAGUAACCUGCCCUUGACUUUGGGAUAACUUCAGGAAACUGGGGCUAAUACCGGAUAGGAGCUCCUGCUGCAUGGUGGGGGUUGGAAAGUUUCGGCGGUUGGGGAUGGACUCGCGGCUUAUCAGCUUGUUGGGGGGGUAGUGGCUUACCAAGGCUUGGACGGGUAGCCGGCCUGCGAGGGUGACCGGCCACGUUGGGACUGAGAUACGGCCCAGACUCCUCCGGGAGGCAGCAGUGGGGAAUAUUGCACAAUGGGCGGAAGCCUGAUGCAGCAACGCCGCGUGCGGGAUGACGGCCUUCGGGUUGUAAACCGCUUUCGCCUGUGACGAAGCGUGAGUGACGGUAAUGGGUAAAGAAGCACCGGCUAACUACGUG
rnacentral:rRNA from 1 species